rnacentral:tRNA from 1 species
ACUUUCUUAGUACAAACAAUACCAAUGAUUUCCACUCAUUAAAUCUUAGUAAUAUCUAAGAGAAAGUA